rnacentral:rRNA from 1 species
GAUGAACGCUGGCGGCGUGCCUAAUACAUGCAAGUCGAGCGAACGGACGAGAAGCUUGCUUCUCUGAUGUUAGCGGCGGACGGGUGAGUAACACGUGGAUAACCUACCUAUAAGACUGGGAUAACUUCGGGAAACCGGAGCUAAUACCGGAUAAUAUUUUGAACCGCAUGGUUCAAAAGUGAAAGACGGUCUUGCUGUCACUUAUAGAUGGAUCCGCGCUGCAUUAGCUAGUUGGUAAGGUAACGGCUUACCAAGGCAACGAUGCAUAGCCGACCUGAGAGGGUGAUCGGCCACACUGGAACUGAGACACGGUCCAGACUCCUACGGGAGGCAGCAGUAGGGAAUCUUCCGCAAUGGGCGAAAGCCUGACGGAGCAACGCCGCGUGAGUGAUGAAGGUCUUCGGAUCGUAAAACUCUGUUAUUAGGGAAGAACAUAUGUGUAAGUAACUGUGCACAUCUUGACGGUACCUAAUCAGAAAGCCACGGCUAACUACGUGCCAGCAGCCGCGGUAAUACGUAGGUGGCAAGCGUUAUCCGGAAUUAUUGGGCGUAAAGCGCGCGUAGGCGGUUUUUUAAGUCUGAUGUGAAAGCCCACGGCUCAACCGUGGAGGGUCAUUGGAAACUGGAAAACUUGAGUGCAGAAGAGGAAAGUGGAAUUCCAUGUGUAGCGGUGAAAUGCGCAGAGAUAUGGAGGAACACCAGUGGCGAAGGCGACUUUCUGGUCUGUAACUGACGCUGAUGUGCGAAAGCGUGGGGAUCAAACAGGAUUAGAUACCCUGGUAGUCCACGCCGUAAACGAUGAGUGCUAAGUGUUAGGGGGUUUCCGCCCCUUAGUGCUGCAGCUAACGCAUUAAGCACUCCGCCUGGGGAGUACGACCGCAAGGUUGAAACUCAAAGGAAUUGACGGGGACCCGCACAAGCGGUGGAGCAUGUGGUUUAAUUCGAAGCAACGCGAAGAACCUUACCAAAUCUUGACAUCCUUUGACAACUCUAGAGAUAGAGCCUUCCCCUUCGGGGGACAAAGUGACAGGUGGUGCAUGGUUGUCGUCAGCUCGUGUCGUGAGAUGUUGGGUUAAGUCCCGCAACGAGCGCAACCCUUAAGCUUAGUUGCCAUCAUUAAGUUGGGCACUCUAAGUUGACUGCCGGUGACAAACCGGAGGAAGGUGGGGAUAACGUCAAAUCAUCAUGCCCCUUAUGAUUUGGGCUACACACGUGCUACAAUGGACAAUACAAAGGGCAGCGAAACCGCGAGGUCAAGCAAAUCCCAUAAAGUUGUUCUCAGUUCGGAUUGUAGUCUGCAACUCGACUAUAUGAAGCUGGAAUCGCUAGUAAUCGUAGAUCAGCAUGCUACGGUGAAUACGUUCCCGGGUCU